GACGAACGCUGGCGGCGUGCUUAACACAUGCAAGUCGUACGGUAAGGCCCUUUCGGGGGUACACGAGUGGCGAACGGGUGAGUAACACGUGAGUAACCUGCCCACAACUUUGGGAUAACGCUAGGAAACUGGUGCUAAUACUGGAUAUGUGCUCCUGCUGCAUGGUGGGGGUUGGAAAGCUCCGGCGGUUGUGGAUGGACUCGCGGCCUAUCAGCUUGUUGGUGGGGUAGUGGCCUACCAAGGCGGCGACGGGUAGCCGGCCUGAGAGGGUGACCGGCCACAUUGGGACUGAGAUACGGCCCAGACUCCUACGGGAGGCAGCAGUGGGGAAUAUUGCACAAUGGGCGCAAGCCUGAUGCAGCAACGCCGCGUGCGGGAUGACGGCCUUCGGGUUGUAAACCGCUUUCAGCAGGGAAGAAGCUUUUUGUGACGGUACCUGCAGAAGAAGCACCGGCUAACUACGU
rnacentral:rRNA from 1 species